AAGACUCUCACAGCCCGGGGCUGGCGGCGCCAGCCCGCCGCUUCGAGUGCGGAUCCUGCCCAGCCCGCACCCACCCGGAACUCGCGCUGGCGCGCGAGCGCGGCGCGCAGCUUGGGUUCCUGCCGGCGCCUCUCCCUCCACACCUCACCUCAAACAGAGGGAGCCGGCUCCGGUCUCGGCCAGCCCAGAGAGGGCCUCCCAUAGUGCAGCGGCGGGCUGAAGGUCUCCUCAAGCGCUGCCAGAGUGGGCGUCGAGGCUGAGGAGACACCGAGAGCGAGUGAGGGCUGCAAGCAUGCUGUCACCUCUCAGUAAUUUGAGAAAAUUUCUGUUUUCUAUGGGAGAGGCAUCAUGUGAGGAAGCUGUUAUUGGCUUGAAUUUCUGCCUCUUGUAUUCCUCAAAGCAAAUGAGCAGUGAAGUAGACAAGAGACCAUAAUUCCCAUAGUCAAGGAUAUUCAUAUAAAGGGCCCCACAAUGUGGAAGAAACUGCUGUAUUGGGAGCAGCAAGUACUGCAGCCCAUUUGAGGUAUGAUAAUCAGCUGAUUAGCUAGUGGAGUCGUUUUCCCUGAGGCUCUUUUGUGUGCAAAAUCCUCACACUCAAUUGACAUGUGGACAUCAUAAAGCUGAUGAAAUGCAAUUGUAAUGAACAAGAGGGAGCGGCAUCUGCAGCCGUCUAAAUGAAGGACCCUUUCCUCUCGCCAUGCUAAUUCAGAAAAUCUGCUCUUAACGUGUACUCCCCCUGGAUUCCAAAUUGAGGCACAUCUCCAUGAAUGCAUAUUCAAGGAGUGAAUUAGCCUCUGUGGCAAGUGAGCGCCUAGCCUGGCCAGACUGAUUCUAAUUUCAAGACAGAUUAUACUGCAUCAACCAUAGUAAUGAUCUGACAGUUCAUUUGUGAUGAGAGUCCUACAGUCAGCUUUACUGCUCGGACAGACAGGUGCACAGAGAGAGCCAGCAAGACCUCUCAGAAAACACCAAAGGCUGCUGUCAAAUGAUUUCAGCCCAAAUAGCCAGAUGAUAAUCUGUAUCUCUGGCCUCCUUGUCUGACUGA
rnacentral:lncRNA from 1 species